CGCCGGCGACCAGUAGACAUGGCAAGCGCCAGCUAUAGGGCUCCAAAGUGCGGAAAUGUGCCCGUUCACACGGAUCCAAAGUAGAAGAAGUCAUCUGGGCAUCAUUGCGUCGUGUUUGGAUGCCAAAACAACCAGCGGAAAAGGAGCAGGUUGCUUAGCGCUGUUUGCGAAGAGCACAACACACGUAGGGAAUCGUGCCGGUGCGGUGUUUUCAGCCUGCGCCGAUUUCCAUCCGCAACGAAGAAUGCCAAGCUGCGCCACCGGUGGAUAGCUGCAGUGAAUAGGAAGAACGACCAACCCAGUGAAAAUGCACGAGUUUGCUCCGCUCACUUGCUGGGCAACAAGCCUACAGAGCAGAAUCCCGCGCCGGUGCUUCGCCUUGGCUAUAACAAAAAGGUGGUGAAGGGCAGGCGUCUGCUAACCAGGCAGUCAAACG